CAGGUUUUAGAGGAUUGGCACUUGACUUCAAUGUGUGGAGACCAUUGGUGCAAGAACUGAGAGACACAAGAAAGAAUUAAGUCAGGAAGAGCUGGAUUUCUCUUUGGUGACAGGUCAUCUUCUGACUGCUAAACCUCAUCACAUACCUCUGGUACAGUCACAGAAAUCUGUGUUUUGUAAAUUAAUCUUAUUUUAUAGUUCAUUUUAUAGUAUCAUUUUUCUUUUCCUUGCCUCAUUUUCUUUUUUGCAUUAAAUUUAACUCUGACAUCUUG
rnacentral:lncRNA from 1 species